GACGAACGCUGGCGGCGUGCUUAACACAUGCAAGUCGAACGGAGUUUUCUGGAUCAAGGCUUCGGCCAAGUGAAUGAAAACUUAGUGGCGGACUGGUGAGUAACGCGUGAGGAACCUGCCUUUCAGAGGGGGACAACAGUUGGAAACGACUGCUAAUACCGCAUGAAGCAUAGAGGUCGCAUGGUCUUUAUGCCAAAGAUUUUAUCGCUGAAAGAUGGCCUCGCGUCUGAUUAGCUAGUUGGUGAGGUAACGGCCCACCAAGACGACGAUCAGUAGCCGGACGGAGAGGUUGACCGGCCACAUUGGGACUGAGAUACGGCCCAGACUCCUACGGGAGGCAGCAGUGGGGAAUAUUGGGCAAUGGACGCAAGUCUGACCCAGCAACGCCGCGUGAAGGAAGAAGGCUUUCGGGUUGUAAACUUCUUUUGUCAGGGAAGAGUAGAAGACGGUACCUGACGAAUAAGCCACGGCUAACUACGUGCCAGCAGCCGCCGUAACAC
rnacentral:rRNA from 1 species